CUCAGUUUAUAGCGUGUUUAUCUUAACAUGAACAAUCAGGAGCGUUUAUAUUGGACUUAAAGAGAUUUAUAACUUCUACAUUCACAAAAGGUCUAUACUGUGAAGGACCGGAUGCUUCCGGUCGCAACUAGUUUCAAACUUGUGCGCAUACGCAGAGGUCAGUGGAAGGCUCUAUUUAUCUGUUUAAAGAAAUAAAAGGUUUGCAGAUCAGAACUGAUGGGAUCAUCUGAGAAUUGAUACAAGAAAACCCUACGAAGUCAGAGAAGGACUAAGACACAUAUUAAGAUACUCAGAUUCCAUCAGAUACCAUAUUGACCAUCUUGUCUGAAGUAAGUUCAAUGUAAUGAGCAACUGUUCCUUCAACAUUUUGAGAUGUCAAGUUUGCAGCAUUCAGGUGCCAUUUUUGUGACAGUAAAAAUAGCUGACUUUGAGUGGAGGGAGUAACAUAUGUUCUUAGAGGAAUGUCAUACGAGGAACGGUUACUUGAGCUAAAUCUGUUCAGUCUCAAGCAAAGGAGAUUGAGGGGGGGACAUGAUCCAGGUAUAUAAGAUUCUAACAGGUUUGGAUGCUGUUCAACCAAAUAGUUACUUCAGCAUUAGUUUAAAUACACGAACUCGUGGCCAUAGGUGGAAAUUAGCGGGAGAACAUUUCAAGCUGGAUUUAAGGAAGCACUUCUUUACGCAGCGUGUAGUCAGAGUAUGGAAUAGCCUUCCUGAUAAUGUAGUGCAAGCUGAAUCCUUGGGUUCCUUUAAAUCAGAGCUAGAUAAGAUUUUAACGACUCUGAGCUAUUAGUUUAGUUCUCCCCAAGCGAGCUUGAUGGGCCGAAUGGCCUCCUCUCGUUUGUAUAGUUCUUAUGUUCUUAUGU